rnacentral:rRNA from 1 species
UACGAAGGGGGCUAGCGUUGCUCGGAAUCACUGGGCGUAAAGCGCACGUAGGCGGCUUUCUAAGUCAGGGGUGAAAUCCUGGAGCUCAACUCCAGAACUGCCUUUGAUACUGGAGAGCUUGAGUCCGGAAGAGGUGAGUGGAACUCCGAGUGUAGAGGUGGAAUUCGUAGAUAUUCGGAAGAACACCAGUGGCGAAGGCGGCUCACUGGUCCGGUACUGACGCUGAGACGCGAAAGCGUGGGGAGCGAACAGG